rnacentral:tRNA from 1 species
GGAGGGAUGCGAGAGCGGUCAAAUCGGCUCGCCUGGAAAGCGACGCGCUGCAUAAAGCGGCACGGGGGUUCGAAUCCCCCUCCCUCCGCCA